GAGAGCGCGCCACCGAUGGUGAGGUGGGGCUGGCUGUAACCCAGUUGCCUUCGGGCUCAGGGGUUCGAAUCCCUCCGCUCUCA
rnacentral:tRNA from 1 species